rnacentral:rRNA from 1 species
UACGGAGGGGGCUAGCGUUGUUCGGAAUUACUGGGCGUAAAGCGCGCGUAGGCGGACCCGCAAGUCGGGGGUGAAGGCCCGAGGCUCAACCUCGGAACUGCCUUCGAUACUGGAAAGCUUGAGUUCGGGAGAGGUGAGUGGAACUGCGAGUGUAGAGGUGAAAUUCGUAGAUAUUCGCAAGAACACCAGUGGCGAAGGCGGCUCACUGGCCCGAUACUGACGCUGAGGUGCGAAAGCGUGGGGAGCAAACAGG